ensembl:lncRNA
GGAUGAUGUUGCGUGACAACAUUGUGACAUCAUAACUUACGCUGUUUUAUUUGCUGUUGCACCAAUAUAACAUAAAGGCAUAUAACAGCACCUUGGAUGUAUGUAGUGCUUCCCUCCCAUGGAACUUAAGGCACUUCACAGGCAUUUUCUUUCUAAACCUCACAACAUCUCUCUAAGGAAAAGUGCUUUGCAAGAGUUGGAGAAAAGACAAAUACUCAAACCAAUCAUGCCUCAGAAAGAAGCCUUGAGUCAGCCUGCAACACUUUCCACUUUCCAGUGUCAGCCUCAGUUGCAGGACCAUUAUCAAGCAAGCAAGAUUAUAUGCCACACACAGAACACAAAGAAAAGUUGUCAUUUUAGCAAACAGAGCAGCCAUCCUUGGACCAACAAAAUCUCAUGCUAAGAUGAUGUCAGGAGAAAGAAUCACUGCAGACAGUGACUGCAGCCAUGAAAUUAAAAGUGGGAGGAGAUACCCCUCAUCCAAGGUAAAGAGCAGCGGCUGUGCUUUGCUGGAGCAGCUGUGAAGAGAUACCCCACGCCCAAGAAUGACGUUUCCAGGGAACACAGGAAGAGAACAAAGAUAGUCAAAACACAUGACCCCUGAAAGAUUAAGCGUGCCUUUAUCUUCUGUGCUGCUCCGGACACCACCCUCUGCUUGUGACACAUCACUCUCCUGAACCUUGUCGUCUAGUACAGCCCCUGAUUGUCCCUAUGCAGACAGACAGGAGAAUUUGACAGGCUUCCCUGGGGCACCAGAGAAACAAG